AGUCAGCCACGCCCUUUGGGACAUUGUGUCGAACAGAUGUGUGUUGCUCCACAUAUGUUAGAAGCUUGUUUGUUUCAAUUCUAUGAGAAACAACUGUUUAAAUUGGGGGGUUGAAGGUGAUGGAGAAUUCACAAGAUUAUGCAACACAGAGGGAGAUGGGGAUGGAAGGAAGGUUGUGGCUACCCCAAUAGCAGAUAGCUCUCUGUAUUGGUGGUUUCGUCAUCAUGUGAGGAAAGAACAUUACUUAUACUCAGUGGUUGUCA
rnacentral:lncRNA from 1 species